rnacentral:pre_miRNA from 1 species
AUUGGGAUAGCUGGGUCAAAUGGUGGUUCCCUCCUUCCCAGUUUUCUGAGGAAUCUCCAUACUGCUUUCCAGAGUGGUUGCACCAAUUUGCAGUACCACCAGCAAU